CCCCAGACUCCUACGGGAGGCAGCAGUGGGGAAUAUUGCACAAUGGGGGAAACCCCGAUGCAGCGACGCCGCGUGAGCGAUGAAGUAUUUCGGUAUGUAAAGCUCUAUCAGCAGGGAAGAAGAUGACGGUACCUGACUAAGAAGCCCCGGCUAACUACGUGCCAGCAGCCGCGGUAAUACGUAGGGGGCAAGCGUUAUCCGGAUUUACUGGGUGUAAAGGGAGCGUAGACGGCGAUGCAAGCCAGAUGUGAAAGCCCGGGGCUCAACCCCGGGACUGCAUUUGGAACUGUGUGGCUGGAGUGUCGGAGAGGCAGGCGGAAUUCCUAGUGUAGCGGUGAAAUGCGUAGAUAUUAGGAGGAACACCAGUGGCGAAGGCGGCCUGCUGGACGAUGACUGACGUUGAGGCUCGAAAGCGUGGGGAGCAAACAGGAUUAGAUACCCGCGUACU
rnacentral:rRNA from 1 species